UUGCGGUUAAAAAGCUCGUAGUUGGAUUUCUGUUGAAGUCAGCCGGUGCACACUUCGUGUGUGUAUGUUGGCCUGACUUUGGCAUGCCUCUGGGGGAACGUCUCUGGCCUUAAUUGGACAGGGCGAGAUUCCAGACUUUUACUUUGAGGAAAUUAGAGUGUUCACAGCAGGCAAGUGCUUUGAAUACAUUAGCAUGGAAUAAUAAUAUAGGACCUUCGUUCUAUUUUGUUGGUUUCUAGGACUUAGGUAAUGAUUAAUAGGGACAAUUGGGGGCAUUCGUAUUAACGCGUCAGAGGUGGAAUUCUUGGAUUGCGUUACGACGAACUACUGCGAAAGCAUUUGCCAAAGAUGUUUUCAUUGAUCAAGAACGAAAGUGUGGGGAUCGAAGACGCUUAGAUACCGUCGUAGUCUAUACCAUAAACUAUGCCAACUAGGGAUGUGACGGGUACUCUUUUAUGGCUCGUUGCGCACCUUAUGAGAAAUCAAAGUUUUUGGGUUCCGGGGGGAGUAUUGUCGCAAGGCCGAAACUUAAAGGAAUUGACGGAAGGGCACCACCAGGAGUGGAGCCUGCGGCUUAAUUUGACUCAACACGGGAAAACUCACCAGGUCCAGACAUAGUGAGGAU
rnacentral:rRNA from 1 species